rnacentral:rRNA from 1 species
GACGAACGCUGGCGGCGUGCUUAACACAUGCAAGUCGAACGGAAAGGCCCUGCUUUUGUGGGGUGCUCGAGUGGCGAACGGGUGAGUAACACGUGAGUAACCUGCCCUUGACUUUGGGAUAACUUCAGGAAACUGGGGCUAAUACCGGAUAGGAGCUCCUGCUGCAUGGUGGGGGUUGGAAAGUUUCGGCGGUUGGGGAUGGACUCGCGGCUUAUCAGCUUGUUGGUGGGGUAGUGGCUUACCAAGGCUUUGACGGGUAGCCGGCCUGAGAGGGUGACCGGCCACAUUGGGACUGAGAUACGGCCCAGACUCCUACGGGAGGCAGCAGUGGGGAAUAUUGCACAAUGGGCGGAAGCCUGAUGCAGCAACGCCGCGUGCGGGAUGACGGCCUUCGGGUUGUAAACCGCUUUCGCCUGUGACGAAGCGUGAGUGACGGUAAUGGGUAAAGAAGCACCGGCUAACUACGUGCCAGCAGCCGCGGUGAUACGUAGGGUGCGAGCGUUGUCCGGAUUUAUUGGGCGUAAAGGGCUCGUAGGUGGUUGAUCGCGUCGGAAGUGUAAUCUUGGGGCUUAACCCUGAGCGUGCUUUCGAUACGGGUUGACUUGAGGAAGGUAGGGGAGAAUGGAAUUCCUGGUGGAGCGGUGGAAUGCGCAGAUAUCAGGAGGAACACCAGUGGCGAAGGCGGUUCUCUGGGCCUUUCCUGACGCUGAGGAACGAAAGCGUGGGGAGCGAACAGGCUUAGAUACCCUGGUAGUCCACGCUGUAAACGGUGGGUACUAGGUGUGGGGUCCAUUCCACGGGUUCCGUGCCGUAGCUAACGCUUUAAGUACCCCGCCUGGGGAGUACGGCCGCAAGGCUAAAACUCAAAGGAAUUGACGGGGCCCCGCACAAGCGGCGGAGCAUGCGGAUUAAUUCGAUGCAACGCGUAGAACCUUACCUGGGUUUGACAUGGAUCGGGAGUGCUCAGAGAUGGGUGUGCCUCUUUUGGGGUCGGUUCACAGGUGGUGCAUGGCUGUCGUCAGCUCGUGUCGUGAGAUGUUGGGUUAAGUCCCGCAACGAGCGCAACCCUUGUUCACUGUUGCCAGCACGUUAUGGUGGGGACUCAGUGGAGACCGCCGGGGUCAACUCGGAGGAAGGUGGGGAUGACGUCAAGUCAUCAUGCCCCUUAUGUCCAGGGCUUCACGCAUGCUACAAUGGCUGGUACAGAGAGUGGCGAGCCUGUGAGGGUGAGCGAAUCUCGGAAAGCCGGUCUCAGUUCGGAUUGGGGUCUGCAACUCGACCUCAUGAAGUCGGAGUCGCUAGUAAUCGCAGAUCAGCAACGCUGCGGUGAAUACGUUCCCGGG